rnacentral:lncRNA from 1 species
CUAACCCCAAGAAGUACUGUUUUCCCAUAGAUCCUGGGUUGUACCAGUCUUGUAACCUCCGGUGCUCAGCGAAUCCCAUCAGAGCCAUCUCGAGAACAAAGAGAGUGUAAUUGUCUGCCCAGUAAGUGUAUGUCCCUGCUGGUGGAAUCACACCGGUUUGGAACCAAGGAAGAGCAGUCUCUGGUGGAAUCAGACCAGCCUUUCCUAGAAUCUCAGGAGCAAUAGCUCCAGCUGCACCCAACAUGGCAAACCGUCCGUUGAUGAUCUCUCCGUAUGCUAGCCAUCUUGGCUCAAUGAACCCUCCAGUUCCCUCUGGGUCUGAAAGACCAAGUGGGUCAAAUCCAUAGUCUCCAGGUAAGCUGCAAGAAGAAUCACAACAUGUCCAAAUUUUGAACAUCAUGAAGUUCUCCAAAUGAAUCAAAUCCAACAGAUGUUUGAACAUUACCUGCCAUCCAAGUAAGAGAGACUCUGCGAUGAUGCAAACCACAAUGGUCUGUUUGCUCCUUGCUGAAAAACCAAAACACAAAAUCAAGAUCAGAUUAUUCAUUUCAUAUAGAGAGAGAUCUGUGAAAGACUAGAGAGUGUCAUGUACCUUGACAGGUGGAGUUGCUGUAGCCUUAACAACAAAGGAACUCUUCUUCUGUGAGGCAGACGCAACUGGUUUUGAGCCAAAUAUCUGUCUAGCUGUCUGAACAGAGGAGGUAAGUGAAGAAGACACAAGUGCUUGUGCUGCCAUUUUCUCUGUUCCUCAACUCUUCU